rnacentral:rRNA from 1 species
AACGAACGCUGGCGGCAGGCUUAACACAUGCAAGUCGAGCGCACCUUCGGGUGAGCGGCGGACGGGUGAGUAACGCGUGGGAACAUACCCUUUGGUAAGGAAUAGCCUCUGGAAACGGAGAGUAAUACCUUAUAAGCCCUUACGGGGAAAGAUUUAUCGCCAAAGGAUUGGCCCGCGUUGGAUUAGCUAGUUGGAGAGGUAACGGCUCACCAAGGCGACGAUCCAUAGCUGGUUUGAGAGGAUGAUCAGCCACACUGGGACUGAGACACGGCCCAGACUCCUACGGGAGGCAGCAGUGGGGAAUCUUGGACAAUGGGGGCAACCCUGAUCCAGCCAUGCCGCGUGAUCGAUGAAGGCCUUAGGGUUGUAAAGAUCUUUCAACGGUGACGAUAAUGACGGUAGCCGUAGAAGAAGUCCCGGCUAACUUCG